CUGGGAAACUCCCUAUGCCGCAAGUGCGGCCCUAAAAAGCAAAAUAAAAAAAUCAAAAUAAAAAAUAAAGUAUGUUCAGAGAAAAAGGCAACUGACAGGCAGCAUGCAUCAAUGAGGUAGAAGGACCAUCUCCUGGGGCUAGCUGGCCAUCUCUCUAAGAUGGCACAGGAGUGGGUGCUGCCUGUAGGGGUGGUACAACCUCUCCAGUGAGCUUCUGAGUUUGUUCAGCAAGGGAAUGAGAGGUCAGGUGCCUGCGAGGGACAAAGGAUGCCCAGACCUGGCACUCUGGAUCUUCCGACUCCGAAAGGGAGUCCUCCACCAGGCAGAAGGGAAGCUGGGGCGGCGCUUGUUUCCCACCUGCUCUGGAGUACGCACGUAUGGGAAACAGGCAGGGUCUCCUGGGGGAAAAAGAGGAGUAAUUCAGAGUGCCUUCUGUGUGCUCAUAUUUUCCUCCCACGUAGUAAAACACACACAGACACACACAUGCACACAUGCAUGCACACCUGGAACAAGCUUGUUCGGGGUGUUUUAGAUGGUAAGACCACCCUGGGAUGCGGAGCUCCAGCUUGGGGCCUGAGAUGAUCCAUUCUGAAGUUACAUGCAUCUGCCUUCAAAUCCUGACUCUUUCAUUUAUAGCGAAAGGACCAGAAUCAAAGCCUUAAAUCUCUCAUUUGCCUCAUCUGCAAAAGGACCCUGGAAGGCUCACCACAGCAGACUGUUCCCACGUUCUGAGGAUUAAACAAAAACCUACAGGGGAGGUCCUGGCAAACAUCACGUGCUCAAUAACCGGGGUGGGGGGCGCUUAUUAUUAUUCCCUAAGGGGGAGAGACAGACGGCAACAUUUAGGGGAGCUUUGAUAAGGCGGGAGCUGUCUCAUCACAAUCAGAAUCCCCUUGUACCCACCCCAUGCCCAGUGCAGGAGGGAGAAUUACCCCCAUCUGGCAGGUUUGCCCAGAACCACACAGCAUGUAAAUGGCAGAAGUUUUGAUCUUUCUAGAACCAGAGAGGCCUGGCUGGAGGUGGGCUCGGCUGUUCUUUUACUCAUGGAAAGAACACUCAGUAGCUCUGUAGGCACUUGGCUGGCGAGAAUCCUGAUGUGAGCACAACGUUUCUGGGAAAAGGGACUUUGGCAAACCUCUCCGUCAGCCAUCAGGAGGUGAUCAACGGGAGGAGAGUACUAGGAAAAGCCGUUUUUCAAAAUCUUCUUUGAAACAGAGCUGAUUCCCCUAGACAAACAGAGAGCAGAAUUCAUGUAAUUACCUGUGCCCACACCCCUGUCAUCUUCCCUGUUGGCAGGCAGCAUAUUUUAUUUUUUAAGCAAAGAAAAACAAAACAGAGAUGCUGUUGUUCACACAUUAGCAGGCUGAAAACUCCCUCUUGCUUCUCUGUUGCCGUCAUCAGUGUAAUGCAUCAGGAUGAAUUUGGAGAGCAGGUCAACUAAUGCAUCUGCUAAAAAUUGGUAAAAGGAACGCUGGUUUCUCAGUGUUGGCUAGUGGGGAAAUAGCAUCAAUUGUUUCCCGAUUCUUUGGAGAAAUAAACGAAGGGUCUCCCCUUCAGUGGACACGAGCUCCCUGCUCCCACCAAAGGUGCCUGGUAGGUAGGAGCUCAAGAGGGCAGGUAUGCAGCGACACCACUGCCUGCGGCCCCCACACCUUCCACCUGGACCACCUGCUUCUCUUCCCAAGGCCCGACCAGGUGCCACAUCCCAAGAGAGAGGAAAGUGAGGCCUCGCUGUGUGUUUGCAAAGUCCCUCUUGGGGCUGCUGGGGCGAGUGUGUGUUCGGGGUGGAAGGGUCUGGGCAUCUACUGGCCAGAUGGCGGAGUCCUAGUUUUCAUGUAACUGGGUCUGUCCACAGCAAACCUGGCUCAGAGCACACGGUCAGUUACACGUCCUGAACCCUUUCCUUCCAGUAUCCCUUCUGGAGCCCUGGAGAGUCAAUAUCUUCUUCCAAACUCACAGAGAUAUGCUUCCAGCUAGACUUGCAACUGCAUGAAAACAGACUUUUGCACAUUCUCAGAGAUGAACCUCCUGGGAGACUCAGUCCUGGGGUUCCUCAGGGAACGCAGUGGGAGUCAGAGCGGCUGGUCAAUUCUGUGGUCCCCUAAUUGCCUCCCUUUCCAGGCCCAUCCCACAGCCGGGCUGAGCCCAGAAGACAUCACGAGCACGGGUCUCUGGUUUCCCUCCCUCCGUGGAGACCCAGGGCACAGGGCUGGCCUCCAAUGGACCACGAGGCCAGGGAGAAAGCACAGGUGUGAAGCAAUCCUGGGGACCCAGGGGAAUGACCAGGAAUGGAAAUCUACCAUGGGAAGCAGUGAGGCAAAGGGUAAAAAUAAGUAAGUUAUCAAUGGUACAGUACAAUCUCAACGUUAUUGAAGCAAUAAACUGUGUGUAUGUUAGGUUCAUAAAUUUCGAAAAAAAAAAACAGAAAGAAUGCAUCAAGACACAAAGUUUUGUGCUCCCCUCCACCCCAACUGCUUGGAAAAUAGGUGAAUUUAUUGAUUUAUUUAUGUGGGCAGGGAUCUCUUAACGGAGACGAACAGAGUCAUUCUCCAAGCUUUCCUGUGCCCCGCAGAUGGCUUCCCCAUAAUCAAGAGGAUGAAGCAGAGUUCCCACUGUCACUCAGCCGGUUAAGGACCCAACGAGUACCCAUGAGGAUACGGGUUCAAGUGCUGGCCUUGCCCAGUGGGUUAAGGACCAGGCGUUGCAGUGAGCUGUGGCUUAGGUUGCAGGUGCAGCUCGGAUCCCGUGUGGCUAUGGCUGUGGCUGUGGCUGUGACGUGGACCUGCAAUACAGCUCCCAUUCGACCCCUAGCCUGGGAACGUCCACAUGCCACAGGUGCAGCAUAUCAAAGAAAAAAAAAAAAAAAAGAGGAUAAAGCUUUACACAUCAACAAACAUCUAGCUGUUAGGCUAUAAAGUGUGUAUGAAAGCGACUGUGACCGCCUUUGUACAGAGCAGACUAAGUAGAGGCAGCUUCCUCUUAACCGAGUCUAGUUCUCCCCGUCCCGGGGCGGGGCGGCUCCCCCCUUGACCAUCUCCAUCCUCACCUGGAGGUCCUGGGACCCGUAAGCUACACACCAAAGUCAAGAGCAAAGAAAUGAGACAGGUUUGAUGUAAGACACAGCUUGUGGCUUCACUGCAGACAGGCAAACAAGGCUCCCCUUCCAGCUCUGCAACCCCCAGCCUGCAAUCUUCAGACAAGUUCUUGAUUCUUACCUGGCCUCAUGUUCCUCAUCUGGAUAGGGGGCCUCUCUUUUGUCUCCAAGUAACCACUGUGGAAAUUUCACAGCACAGCUGACCACCUCGGCACAGGCACGGGAAAAAAAAAAAUGACAACUGUGAAUCAGAAAAGCAAACAAUCUCAGCUCAGUAAACAGGGAAUGCAAAUAAAGUGUGCCUUUACUUUUUCUUAAAAUGAAAGAAAACCAGCAUAUUCCACCUUCACACACGCCUCAGAUACAAUGGUACAACUGGAUGAUAGCUGAACAAGGGCUUCGAUGUUUCAAAGUAAAGCCAGACCGCCAGAAUCUUCUACUAAGCCUCUGUUGUCCAGUAUGGUAGCCAAACUGACAACAUGUGGCUAUUGAAAAUGGCUAGUCUGCACUGAGGUUUUCUUCAGUACAAAAUAUACCCUAGGAGUUCCUGUCAUGUGCAGUGGAUGAAGUAUCUGACCUCAGUGGCUCAGGUCGCUGACGAGGUGCAGGUUUGAUCCCCAGCUCAGCACAAAGGAUCUGGUGUUGCUGCAGCUCAGAUUCAAUCCCUGGCCUGGGAACUUCCAUAUGCCAUGGGUACAGUUUAAAAAAAAAAAAUUUAAAUUAAAUACACCCUAGAUUUCAAAAUUGUAGCCUGAAGGAAGCUCAUGUAUCUCAUUCGUAUUUGUGCAUGGAUUAUAUGUUGACCUCAUAAUAUUUUAGAUAGAAGAAAUCAAAUAAGAGCUAUUAUUAAAAUUAAUUUCACCUGUCACACUUUACUUUCCAUGUACCUGACAAGAAAAUUUUAAAUGACUUCGUGGCCAGCACCAUAUGUCUACUGACAGUGCUGAUCUAGAGGAAAGAUUUUCUUCCUGGGGACAGGCUCUCUCUGCCUGCUCUUCCAGCCUCCAUGAGGCAUGAGAACUCCAUCAAGGGUGUUGCACAAAGGGAAGAUGAAAGGGCUGAAGGCAUUUAUGCCACUGUCCUGGUCCUCGCUGGGUUAUGGCGGCUGUCAUCUCAGCCACGUUUUCUUCUUCCCUCCUCCCUCCUCCUCUUCCUUGCUCUUUCCUCUUUUUUCCUCUUUUUGUAAAAUCAUCUAUGCUAUUGGCCUGCCAUUGCUAAGCUCUGAUAGGAGUGAGGUACCAGUCAGAUAAUUAGCUCCUGUUAUACUUCACUCAUCAUUAGCAACUGAUUUACUGGGAAAGCUCCACUCCAGGUAAAAUCAUUACCUGCCAGUGUGAUGUGACUUGCAGAGACAGGUUUUGCCUGCCCAGAAUACUUCCAGUGUUCUUUAAGUAACAGUGCUGUGGUUUUCCUUUGCUAAACUGAUCAAUGCCUUUGGUUGUGCAAAUCACAGUGCCCUACACGCCUCCCCUCCCCACUGGACACUCAGAAUAAGUCAACUCCCAUUCCCAGAACAGAAAUCUCAAGAGAAAUGACUCUCCAGGGGAAUGAAGGUGGGAUCUAAGCUGUUUGUCUAUCAAUCUCCCAAAGAAGGGCCAAUUGCUCUUGCUCCUGGAUUCUUAGAGCUGUCUUGAUACCGUGCCUGAUUGAUUUUCAAUUCUUCCUUCAAUCUGAUGAGCUAACCGGUAGCCUUGAAAUAACUUCCUUUUGCAUGUAAGCUACCGGGAGUCAUUUUCCAUUACUUGCAGCCACAGACCUAUAUAUUUUUUUUUUUUUUUUUUUUGGCCACACCACGGCACAUAGAGUCCCCAGGCAAGGGGUCAGACCCAAGCAGCAGCUGCAGCUUAUGCCACAGCGGCAACAAUGCUGGAUCUUUUAACCCACUGUGCUGGGCCUGGGAGUGAACCUGCAUCCCAGUGCUUCAGAGACACUGGAACCCACUGUGUCACAACAGGAACUCCUAUGGUAUUAUUUUGAUUCUGCAAAACAGUGAAAGGUUGUAAAAAAGUAUCCAAGGAUAUUUAUCCCCAGGCUGUCAAUAUCAGUAUCAACAGUAAUAAGAUAGAAUAAAGAGAUAAAACAUUUGAAAUACAACCAUCAGCUUUAUCUUUGUUUAAAAAAAAAAAAAAAAAAAA
rnacentral:lncRNA from 1 species